CCAAUAGCGUAUAUUAAAGUUGUUGCAGUUAAAAAGCUCGUAGUUGAAUUUCGGAAUCAGUAUGUUGGUCGUGCUUCGGUACGUACUGUCAUUACUGGUUUCUACCUUCUGAAGAACCUUGAUGUCAUUAAUUUGGUGUCUUGGGGAAUCAGGACUGUUACUUUGAAAAAAUUAGAGUGUUUAAAGCAAGCAUACGCUUGAAUACAUUAGCAUGGAAUAAUGAAAUAGGACGUUUGAUUCUAUUUUGUUGGUUUCUAGGAUCGACGUAAUGAUUAAUAGGGAUAGUUGGGGGCAUUAGUAUUCAAUUGUCAGAGGUGAAAUUCUUGGAUUUAUUGAAGACUAACUACUGCGAAAGCAUUUGCCAAGGAUGUUUUCAUUAAUCAAGAACGAAAGUUAGGGGAUCGAAGACGAUCAGAUACCGUCGUAGUCUUAACCAUAAACUAUGCGACUAGGGAUCGGAUGAUGUUAUUUUUAAUGACUCAUUCGGCGCCUUACG
rnacentral:misc_RNA from 1 species